rnacentral:rRNA from 1 species
AAGUCUGAUGGAGCAACGCCGGGUGAGUGAUGAAGGUUUUCGGAUCGUAAAACUCUGUUGUAAGGGAAGAACCAGUACGUCAGGCAAUGGACGUACCUUGACUGUACCUUAUUAGAAAGCCACGGCUAACUACGUGCCAGCAGCCGCGGUAAUACGUAGGUGGCAAGCGUUGUCCGGAUUUACUGGGCGUAAAGGGCACGCAGGCGGUUUUUUAAGUCAGAUGUGAAAGGUACCGGCUCAACCGGUGACAUGCAUUUGAAACUGAUAGACUUGAGUAUUGGAGAGGCAAGUGGAAUUCCUAGUGUAGCGGUGAAAUGCGUAGAUAUUAGGAGGAACACCGGUGGCGAAGGCGGCUUGCUGGACAAAUACUGACGCUGAGGUGCGAAAGCGUGGGGAGCAAACA